AGUGAACGCUGGCGGUAGGCCUAACACAUGCAAGUCGAACGGCAGCACAGUAAGAGCUUGCUCUUACGGGUGGCGAGUGGCGGACGGGUGAGGAAUACAUCGGAAUCUACUUUUUCGUGGGGGAUAACGUAGGGAAACUUACGCUAAUACCGCAUACGACCUACGGGUGAAGGCAGGGGAUCUUCGGACCUUGCGCGAUUGAAUGAGCCGAUGUCGGAUUAGCUAGUUGGCGGGGUAAAGGCCCACCAAGGCGACGAUCCGUAGCUGGUCUGAGAGGAUGAUCAGCCACACUGGAACUGAGACACGGUCCAGACUCCUACGGGAGGCAGCAGUGGGGAAUAUUGGACAAUGGGCGCAAGCCUGAUCCAGCCAUACCGCGUGGGUGAAGAAGGCCUUCGGGUUGUAAAGCCCUUUUGUUGGGAAAGAAAAGCAGCAGGUUAAUACCCCGCUGUUCUGACAGUACCCAAAGAGUAAGCACCGGCUAACUUCGUG
rnacentral:rRNA from 1 species